rnacentral:sRNA from 1 species
ACACGAUAGAUACAGCAACAAUGCAGGCUUCUCCACACUGUCCCACCAAUGUGCCUUUACCCUGUACAGGAGGGACUAUCUCUUUG